rnacentral:rRNA from 1 species
GGGUGAGUAAUGUCUGGGAAACUGCCUGAUGGAGGGGGAUAACUACUGGAAACGGUAGCUAAUACCGCAUAACGUCGCAAGACCAAAGAGGGGGACCUUCGGGCCUCUUGCCAUCGGAUGUGCCCAGAUGGGAUUAGCUAGUAGGUGGGGUAACGGCUCACCUAGGCGACGAUCCCUAGCUGGUCUGAGAGGAUGACCAGCCACACUGGAACUGAGACACGGUCCAGACUCCUACGGGAGGCAGCAGUGGGGAAUAUUGCACAAUGGGCGCAAGCCUGAUGCAGCCAUGCCGCGUGUAUGAAGAAGGCCUUCGGGUUGUAAAGUACUUUCAGCGGGGAGGAAGGGAGUAAAGUUAAUACCUUUGCUCAUUGACGUUACCCGCAGAAGAAGCACCGGCUAACUCCGUGCCAGCAGCCGCGGUAAUACGGAGGGUGCAAGCGUUAAUCGGAAUUACUGGGCGUAAAGCGCACGCAGGCGGUUUGUUAAGUCAGAUGUGAAAUCCCCGGGCUCAACCUGGGAACUGCAUCUGAUACUGGCAAGCUUGAGUCUCGUAGAGGGGGGUAGAAUUCCAGGUGUAGCGGUGAAAUGCGUAGAGAUCUGGAGGAAUACC